UACGUAGGUGGCGAGCGUUGUCCGGAUUUACUGGGCGUAAAGGGAGCGUAGGCGGACUUUUAAGUGAGAUGUGAAAUACUCGGGCUCAACUUGAGUGCUGCAUUUCAAACUGGAAGUCUAGAGUGCAGGAGAGGAGAAUGGAAUUCCUAGUGUAGCGGUGAAACGCGUAGAGAUUAGGAAGAACACCAGUGGCGAAGGCGAUUCUCUGGACUGUGACUGACGCUGAGGCUCGAAAGCGUGGGGAGCAAACAGG
rnacentral:rRNA from 1 species